rnacentral:rRNA from 1 species
AUUGAACGCUGGCGGCAUGCCCUACACAUGCAAGUCGAACGGCAGCACGGGGCAACCUGGUGGCGAGUGGCGAACGGGUGAGUAACGCGUAGGAAUCUAUCCUGUAGUGGGGGAUAACGUUUCGAAAGGAACGCUAAUACCGCAUACGCCCCAAGGGGGAAAGCGGGGGAUCUUCGGACCUCGUGCUAUAGGAGGAGGCUGCGUCGGAUUAGCUAGUUGGUGAGGUAAAGGCUCACCAAGGCGACGAUCCGUAGCUGGUCUGAGAGGAUGAUCAGCCACACCGGAACUGAGACACGGUCCGGACUCCUACGGGAGGCAGCAGUGGGGAAUAUUGCGCAAUGGGCGAAAGCCUGACGCAGCCAUACCGCGUGUGUGAAGAAGGCCUUCGGGUUGUAAAGCACUUUCAGUGGGGAGGAAAAGCUGGUGGCUAAUAUCCAUCGGCCGUGACGCUACCCACAGAAGAAGCACCGGCUAAUUCCGUGCCAGCCGCCGCGGUAAUAC